UGAAUGUCUGCCCCACGACUGGGACCUGCAGAGUUCUGCUGAGGUGGAAACGGACCGAAGAUGAAGGCUGGGACUAAUGAGGAGAGAGGAUGCAGCUGCGACACCUGGGAGGAAUGAACCAGAGGAGCACAGAUCGUAACAACAGGUGGAGGAGGAACCGGACUGGAGGAAUUGAAGAAGGACCAGUCCCAGGUCGAUAGUCCGAAGCGUGGAGCUCAACACGAGAGCGAGGAGAGUGCAGGCGAGGUUUGGAGAUGAAAGAUUACAGAGUCCAUCAGAGGGAUGGAUCGGGUUUGGACAGGAGGGAUCGUGGACAUUAUUAAAGACAAAUAUUUACUUACGUCCUCUAAGAAAGCUUGUCUCGCUGCAGUGAAAUGAAGAUAAACUCGACUCGCAUCACUGCGGUCGUUGCACCUUCUGACUCAUGACGACAUCCCUCAUGAGUCAGCAGAUCUUUGCACACAUCAGUCAUGUGUGACCGCUCCGUCUUUAACCUGGUGCUGGUGAAAGUGAGYGUGUUUCACUGACGGGGCGGUUUCUCUGUAAACAUCGUCCUGCCUUCUCUUCUUCUUCAGCGUGGGAAAUAAUUCAGCAGAACGUCAGCCUCUCUGGUGCUGAGCCUGUCAGGAGGAUUCGUUAAGAGUUGGGAAUAAAAUCAACGUUAAUGUCGCUUUUUCUACAUAA